UGGACUCCACACUGGGAUGAGCAGAGGCGUGCUGUUGCUGUGUGACACUGAUUUUGCUGCUCCACUUUGUAUUUUAGUGCUGCAUGGACUCCACAC